UACGGGGGGUGCAAGCGUUAAUCGGAAUUACUGGGCGUAAAGGGUGCGUAGGUGGUUUGAUAAGUUAGCUGUGAAAUUCCUGGGCUCAACCUAGGGUGGUCAGCUAAGACUGUUAGACUUGAGUAUGGGAGAGGGUAGUGGAAUUUCCGGUGUAGCGGUGAAAUGCGUAGAGAUCGGAAGGAACACCAGUGGCGAAGGCGGCUACCUGGCCUAAUACUGACACUGAGGCACGAAAGCGUGGGGAGCAAACAGG
rnacentral:rRNA from 1 species